GAUGAACGCUGGCGGCGUGCCUAAUACAUGCAAGUCGAGCGAAUGGAUUAAGAGCUUGCCCUUAUGAAGUUAGCGGCGGACGGGUGAGUAACACGUGGGUAACCUGCCCAUAAGACUGGGAUAACUCCGGGAAACCGGGGCUAAUACCGGAUAACAUUUUGAACCGCAUGGUUCGAAAUUGAAAGGCGGCUUCGGCUGUCACUUAUGGAUGGACCCGCGUCGCAUUAGCUAGUUGGUGAGGUAACGGCUCACCAAGGCAACGAUGCGUAGCCGACCUGGGAGGGUGAUCGGCCACACUGGGACUGGGACACGGCCCAGAAUCCUACGGGGAGCAGCAGUAGGGAAUCUUCCGAAAUGGACGAAAGUCUGACGGAGCAACGCCGCGUGAGUGAUGAAGGCUUUCGGGUCGUAAAACUCUGUUGUUAGGGAAGAACAAGUGCUAGUUGAAUAAGCUGGCACCUUGACGGUACCUAACCAGAAAGCCACGGCUAACUACGUGCCAGCCGCCGCGGUAA
rnacentral:rRNA from 1 species